rnacentral:rRNA from 1 species
GAUGAACGCUGGCGGCGUGCCUAAUACAUGCAAGUCGAGCGAACAGACGAGGAGCUUGCUCCUCUGACGUUAGCGGCGGACGGGUGAGUAACACGUGGAUAACCUACCUAUAAGACUGGGAUAACUUCGGGAAACCGGAGCUAAUACCGGAUAAUAUAUUAAACCGCAUGGUUCAAUAGUGAAAGACGGUUUUGCUGUCACUUAUAGAUGGAUCCGCGCCGCAUUAGCUAGUUGGUAAGGUAACGGCUUACCAAGGCAACGAUGCGUAGCCGACCUGAGAGGGUGAUCGGCCACACUGGAACUGAGACACGGUCCAGACUCCUACGGGAGGCAGCAGUAGGGAAUCUUCCGCAAUGGGCGAAAGCUUGACGGAGCAACGCCGCGUGAGUGAUGAAGGUCUUCGGAUCGUAAAACUCUGUUAUUAGGGAAGAACAAAUGUGUAAGUAACUAUGCACGUCUUGACGGUACCUAAUCAGAAAGCCACGGCUAACUACGUG